rnacentral:rRNA from 1 species
AGAUUGAACGCUGGCGGCAGGCCUAACACAUGCAAGUCGAGCGGCAGCACGGGUACUUGUACCUGGUGGCGAGCGGCGGACGGGUGAGUAAUGCCUAGGAAUCUGCCUGGUAGUGGGGGAUAACGCUACGGAAACGGACGCUAAUACCGCAUACGUCCUACGGGAGAAAGCAGGGGACCUUCGGGCCUUGCGCUAUCAGAUGAGCCUAGGUCGGAUUAGCUAGGUUGGUGGGUAAUGGCUCACCAAGGCGACGAUCCGUAACUGGUCUGAGAGGAUGAUCAGUCACACUGGAACUGAGA